CCGGUGCUCACUCUAGGAAACGGAUUUAUUUCCCAAGUAAAGUUUAUGUCUUCCACGGGGUCGGGAUAAGGUGUGGCUAGGAAAUUCCUGACACCCGAGGACCAGUGAGUGCCUCGCAAGCCUGUGAGGGGCGGAGACCCUGGCCGUGGAGGAGGAGAAGCCGGCCGGCCGGGCCUGAGGCGAGGCGCGCGGGCGAGCGGGGAGGGCCGGGCUGAGCCAGCCGCCCCUUCCCCCCCGCCGCCUCAAGGGCAGUGGCGAGCGCGGCGGGCGGGCCGGCCUGGGCUGUGCGGGUUCCCUGCGCCGCGCACUUGCGCACGGCCCCUUGCGUAACCGUCAGCGCCGGGGAUUCCCUAGAGGGGGGUCACUCUCUUCAACCAUUACACACAGCCGAGCUCCGCCGCGCCUCACAAAAUGGCGGCGCCCAUGGAUCCGGCGGCGGCCGCUCCCCGUCCCCAUUUUGUGCGAGGCGAGGGAUCUGUCAACAUGGAAUACCUCCGCCGAGGAUGCAUCUGACUGGGAAGCCCGCGUCAGGGAACGGAGCCCGCGGGGACCGUGUUGCACGACGUCGGCGACCGCCCGACGCUCAGUCCUCUUCCGUCUUCUCCGAGCGAAGCCUCCGAGGCCGCGCGCACGCUGCGAGAAAGGCAGCGGAAGGCAGAGGCGGGCCGCGGCCGGCUGCUCCGGGGACUCGCGGCGGGGUGACGGCGGGCCGGGAUCCGGAGGGACGAGGACCGGGCGGGCCGCUGUGGUCAAGCGUGAGCCGGCCUGUCGCCCUCGUGCGCGCUCGCCGAGGGGCCGCAGAAGCUUCGGCUCGGGGAACGCGGAGUCGCGGUGCCUGCAGCGGCGGCCCAGGCGACCGGGCAGACGCGCUCGGCAGACGCGUGCACCGUAGGGACGGAGACGGCACGAUCCUUGACCUUUUAAGUCGUCGGAGCCCUACCUGGGACUGUAUGUUGUUGAUGUCUUUAGGUGGACAUCGGAAACGUCCUUCUACCCAACUCUUGCACUGGGCAGGCCUGCUGGGCUUUUAAUUUUCAGGUCCAGGAGCAGAAUGGAGGGAUGACAUGUUGGCACUUUACAAGGGGCAGGUUGACACUUCGAAGGCAGCGAAUGCUAUGAGUAUCGGAGGCCACCAGAACUGUAGCGCCAUGACCGCCAUCCGGCUGGAUUUACUGCUUGUGGGCUUCUUCUGUCCCCAACUCUGUGGCCCGUGUGGAUUUCUAAAGACUUGAAAGAGCAGCAUCUCCCAGCUAAGAGAUUCGAUGUGGGGUCCGUGUCUAAGUUGUAGGUGCCCUCCAGCCUUGUGAAACGGUGUGGUCAUUUAGAGGGCGCUAUCGUACGCACAAGGUUCAAGCUAAAGACAAGGACAUAAGAAUUUAGGAGAUCACUCAAGGUUCUUUCGUGGAAAUGCAGUUGGAAGCCUGAGCUAAGGAAAACCACUUCGUUUACGGAGUUGAAAUAGUUGGAGCUAGCAGACCCGUGGCAGUCGUGAGACACACAACCUAGCUGUUAUUUUGGUUGUUACCCUCUGGAAAAUAGGUGUAUAAAGGACUGCAUUAGUGAGAAGUUCAUCUCCCACUCCGUUGUUUGACUAACUGGGCAUGCCUAGAUACAUGUGAAUGUAAUAAUGAGGGUAUCGUCUUAUCAAAGUGUCCCGUGCUGCUACUGUCGGCGCCGCUGCGGUUUGCUGCAGGGUCCCAGAACCGUAGUGGAGCAUGAACCCACAUUUGCUUUUGUGAGUUUACUCACAAAAUAUUUUAUCUUUCAUCAAGUUUUUGUGCCUUGUCUGUGGCCCAGUGUAUAGUUGAAGCCUUUUUAAGUGUGGUCUCAUACUAUGUAGUUCAGGCUGGCCUUGAACUCUGUCAUCUCACCUGCUCACUUGUGGACUCAGGGGCCUGUCAGCUCAGCUGGCCUUAAUGCAAUGCGGCUGAAACGGGAACUUGAGGAAAAGUCAGCUGGCUGGGGUUCCCAGGGCACAGGGGGGAAGGAAAGUUUAGCUGAAGUGGACACAGGUGAAAGGCUAAGGCAGAUUCGUGAGGGAACAUUUGCUGAAGCAGACACAGGAGAGCAGAUGUUCUGCUAAAGCAAGCCAGGCAAAGGACACAUGAUGAAGGAUUCUUUGCUAACAACACGCCAGUAUUGGUCUGCCUUACACUGCAUUUGUCCGAACUCCAUAGAGAGCAACACACCCAAAAACAAAACCAACAACAAAAACCAAAAAAAACCCUCGGGUGAUGUGCUGCAAUUUCUUGCUGCUUCCUCGGACUCUGGCUGAUUGGCAGAGCCAUGUUAGCUGAGACAGCUGCACGUGCUGAGGCAAGGCCUAUGGAGGACACGUGAUGUUUGGAGAGCAUAAAUAGGACUCAACAGUGACGGAGACAGCCUGACUUGCUGGUACAGCUAGCUGUACAGUGCUUGUGGGUCUCGAAACCACUGAUCUCCGCUUCCCUGAGAGAGGCACAGCCGAGAACUUGUGGUGUUUGUCCCGGACCCUCCUGCUGACUCGAGCUGAGGCUGAAGCCUGGCUGUCUCUGCUAGGUCAUGCCAUCACUGCUGAGUCCCAGUUGCUAUCCCGACUCUACUGAACUGGACUCCUGGUGUCCUGGAAGUGUUUGCAAGUGGAUGAACGCCUGAUGCUGACCUGUGAACUGACCUGCCGAUUUUUAGACAACACAGAUGGGAGUUGCUCCAAAGAAGCUUUCUAAACAGGUCCACUGUAUCCUUUCUUUUCCACUACUACCGGGGUGGGUGGUGGGUUACAAGGGAGGUUAAAGCAUUUAAGAACCAUCAUUAAAAGUAGGAGUUGAAAAGGUUAAAGUUACAUGUAGCUAUAAUGAUAGUGGUUUGUAAAGGUGUCUUUUAGGGAUGGGCGGGGGGUGGUAAUACACAUUCACAAGGCUUUGUAAUGUAUGACUUUGGUGUUUUUGUUUACUGUGGCACCAGGGCUUGAAUCAGAGCUUCCUAUCUGGUAGCCAUGCACUCUGCCAUUAAUCUAUACCCCUAGUAGUUCUUGUUUCUGUUUUUGUUGGUUUGUUUUUGAGACUAUUCAUUUAUGAGUUGAUGCCUAGGCCUAAGCUAGUCUUGAGCCUCAACUAGUCCAUAACUCGAUUAGCCCGUUGAUACUCUUCUGUGUCUGCCAUGUGGCUGGUCACCUCUCCUGAGUUGCAUACUGAGUGCAGGUAGGACAUCUUCGUGCACCUCACUCUUUGUCAGCGUUCCUGUAUUUCUGCCAGAUGUCCCACCUUUGCUAUAGGCCACUCAGCUCUUUAUUGACAAGUGACACUUUUACACAGUGCACAAGAGAUUGUCUUCCCCUACAGUGCAAGGCUUACAGGUGUGCACCACCAGGCCAUUAAACAUGUUCAAGUGUGUAAAUUUGAUGUGCCCUUUGGUCGUAUUUAGAUCCUUCAUGAAUAAUUCUUGAUGCCUAAGUCAACAGCUCCAUGCAUUUAUGGGUCAACAAAUUUCUGUUAAGUCUGUGGGCCUUCAGUCACGGCAGCUCCAGCAGCCUUGGGCAGCUGGCAGGAGGUAGCCUCUGCUUGCACAGUGCCCGCCCGUGUACUGGGUCUAGUGGUGCACGUUUGCUAGGCUCCUCCUGUGAUAGGGAGCUAUGGUCCUGCGUUCUCUGUACAGGGACAAAUCUCAAGAAGAAAGUGACUAAAGUUCCUUGCAGAAAGUACUUGGUUCAGAAGUAGACAGCCUCAAAGAGUAUCCAAGUUGGGCUACACUUACUGUCAAAUAUGGUGGAGAUAAGACUUGGCUAGCUGUAAUUAGGCAAGUUAAAAUUGUGGUUGAUUCUUGAUGGACUCACUGGAAAUAGGUCUGGAAACUUAGGUGGUCACAUAUAAAACAUGGGGUGAGCUCCUUCAUACCAGAUUGUCCAGGAUUGGGAGCAGAGGCCUCUGGUUAGUCUUCAGCACUGAUAGAGCUGCAUGCAGACUGGACCUCUCAUCUGGUGACGAGUGGGGAAUGUCAGGUAGUGCUCUAGAUUUUCCAGAUUGCUGAAAAGAUGAGCUGAGUCUGUCCUAAAGCACAGACCCAAGGCAGCAUUCGUACUGAGUGGUCCUGGAAACCUGGAGAGCAGCCCCCUUUAUGUGGGACUCAAGAUGUAUUUUCCAGUAAUGAACCUAACUUUUAAGAAUCCAGUCUAACUGCUGAAGAUGUGAAUGUAUGGGGUGUGUGUGUAGUGUGUGCACAUGUGUGCAGUAAAUGAUUUUUUCAUUUAAAAAUUCCCACUUCCACCAACUAUGGAGAGAAAUAAUAGGAAAACACAUGUUAUUUAAUUAUGAUUAAUUUCAAUUUCAGUAGAAUCCCAGCUAGAUGUUACAAUUUAUAGCUUUUUAGACAGAGACAUGGCAAAGGCUUUAAAUAAAUCUGUAGGACUUCAUAAUCUCUUCAAACUAUAUUUCUGAUCCUCAAUAAUAAAAUGCUAUUCCAAGCCUAUGAUAAAAACUUUGCCAAUAUCCUUCCUUGGUCAGAAUCCAAGUUUGUUCUGCCAUCCUAUGAAAGUACAUGUGGCUACCAAAAUUUCUUCUUCACAGUACUUAGAUAUUUGAGCUGGAUCUCUAUGGGGGUUGGGGAGUAAGUAAGGUGAUGUUUUUAUAUGCUCUUGUGUUUAGCUUGGAGCCUAAUUUGGGAGAAGCGUGCUCUCUGGAUGAGUUGGCAGAGGAAGCCAGUUGGUUAACAGAGAUAAGAGCAGCAACCCUGGGUUAAACAAGAAUUGCCACAGCCUCAGUAUUGUGUAAUAGGACGGAGGAAAUGCUAAGGCUGUCAGACAUUUUUGCUCCUCCAAAAGUGAGUACUGUUACAGCUGCUAGUGACCAAGAAGUAACCAACAGCCUGAGGAGACUGGUUUGGAGUAGGAGACAAGGUAAUCAUUAGUGAACACAGCAAUUUCUACUGCAGAGGAGGAAUCUGGAGAGAUCAAGAAGGUUCCCUCUCAUAGAGUGGUUCUCAACCUUCCUAAUGCUUCAACCCUUUAAGUUCCUAAGGUUGUAGUGACCUCAACCAUAAAUGAUUUCAUUGCUACUUCAUAACUGUAAUUUUGCUAGUUAUGAAUUGUAAGUAUCUGAAAUGCAGGCUCUGAUAUACAACCCCUUUGAAAGGGUCUUUCAACUCCCCGAAGGGGUCAUGACUCAUGGGUUGAGAACCACUGCUCAAUAGGUCGAACAUAUUUGUUUUUUAUCAUAGCAGUUAUCUUAAAUAAGAAGAUGAUAGAGUACAUAAAUAAAAUGGAAUAUUGCUCAACUCUAAAGAAAAUGAAAUCACAAAAUUUGCUGGGAAAUGCAUGAACUUCGAAUGUACAUUAUGCAAGAACACCCAGUCUCAGAAAGAGAAACACAUGCUCUACCUCAUAUGGAUCCUAGCCUAUAAUGUACACAUGUAGACUGAUGGUGAGUGUAUGUAGUAAGGAAAACGGGGCCGGUCGGUCGUGUUAGAUGACAAGGACAGAAUACAGGUAAAUGACACGUGGGUUGUGAAAGAGUACUGAGCUGAUUUUUUUUCUAGUUUUUACCCUGUCGUGAAUUCUAUGUGAUGGAUAAGUGCAUUAAAAUGUAGUCUAUAGAAGUUCGUGGCUUCAGGAGGACUGUUCCAACUGAGUUCAUUGAGAUGCAUAAACUUUGGGUCUGUACAAGUGCUUGUUUGAAUGGCUGUGUUAAUGUAGCUAGAUGAUGUCUUUUAUUUGCAAGUUCUUUACAAUAAAGUGAUUUAUAAAGAGAGAUGAAAUAGUCUUAAGUCUUUACAUAAAAAGAAAUAGAACCAAAACUGUAUCUAUGAUUGUGUGUUUUAAGAAAAGAUGUAUGCUGACUUUUUUCUUCCUUAUAAUAAAUUUGUCAAAGACACUUUCAGAAAUAAGUUAAUUAUAUUAGAUGUCAACAUGGCCACAGAGCUGCUAAGGCAACUAACUAAUCAGAAUUACAGACCUUUAAGUCGUGUUAUUUUCGUAGGAUAUAACAACAUCAAAUUCAGGUACAAAUUCAUCAAAGACAAGACUUCUUGGUUUGGAAGACUAGGAAGGGCCAUCUUAAAGAAAGUGAGCCUCUCUGCUCUUUGUGGCUGUUGGGAAGUGGGAAUACUCAGUGUUUUUAUCUUGCUUUCCCUCCCCCCUCUUUGUUAUUAGUUUGAGUGCAUAAAUAUUAGCAUCAAGAGGGAAGACGAGGUCAGAGUGGCAGAGGGAUGGCGUUGACAGGCACAGAAUGGCUUGCAAUGCCUGUUUUUGUAAGAACUCAGUAAGCAAAAUUAUCUCAGGCUGAGAUGUCUCACGCUAUUCAGAGAAGGCCGGCUUUAGUGACAUGUGUCUUGAAUCAUCUGUGUCUAGAUUUGGGGGCAGUUUUUGAUCUUCUGAGGUCUAAUUUACAGCUGCAGAUACUUGUGACUUUGUGUUUGUCCUCCCCAUCCCUUAACCCCCACACCUCAAAUUAUUAUAAGUUCAGUCUUUCAUAUGUUUUCUAAAAAUGGGAAAGUGUUAGAAGUUGUUUUCAGCGCCAUGGGACAUACGUGAGAGUGUGUUUCUUAAAUUAUCAAGUUGGUGUUUCUUAUCUGUUUAUAAGUGUUGAAGGAAGAUUAGGCAGUUACAUUACUUUGGAAAAUAAUAAGUAAAACUCCACCUAUUUUCUACAAAACUUAUCAAGGCAUUUAACAUCCCCUUAACUGUAACUGUUUAAUAUGCUCAUCCUUAUAGGACACGAAUAAAAUUAAACACAUCAAAAACAAAAAGCAUCCCCUCCUUUACUGGGAUGGCCUCAGCUCAUCCCUUAUAAUCACUGCAUGUAGCCAAUAUGAUAAACAUAUUCUUACCCUUAAAUAGGUUAAUAUAAACCUAAUAACCCUUGGAUGUCCAGUUCUCAGAUCUAAUAAGUUUCUGUUUGCAGAAAUUGACUAUUAUGGAAAAUCAUACAUUUUCUACUCAAUAAGGGUAAUGUUUUAUUUAUAUGUGUGUAGUACUUUGCCUGCAUGUAUGUCUGCACCUCUGUGUGCCUGAUACCUAAGGAAGCCAGACGAUGGUAUCGGAUUCCCUGGAACCAGAGUUAGAGACGGCUUUGAGCCACUCUGUGGGUCCUGGAAAUUGAGCCCAAGUCCUCUAGAAGAGCUGCCAGUGUUCUUAACCACUGAGCCACCUCUCCAGCCCUCCAGGAUCAGGGUAUUUCUCAUCGAUGAUCUGUUCCUAUCUGUGCACUGUAAAGUGACACAUUUAGAGUCGCAAGAUUCAGAGAUAAGAAAUGCCUGGUUUUGGGGCUGGGGAUUUAGCUCAGUGGUAGAGCACUUACCUAGGAAGCGCAAGGCCCUGGGUUCGGUCCCCAGCUCCGAAAAAAAGAACAAAAAAAAAAAAAAAAUGCCUGGUUUGUUGUCCCUCACUCUUACAUGCUUUUAUUUAUUCUUUUAUGCUUUCCUGUUUGUUAAACUGCCUCUUGUGAUCUCAGUCCUCUCAGCCCACAUAGCCUCAACAAAUACCCUUGUACGCCCAUCCCUACUUUGUCACAGUAAAGAACAAAAGCCAAGUCCAAGGCUGGUGAAGGGACACACCUUCAGCAGGCCUCUGAAGAGCAUGGACUCAGUGUUGAGUGUACUGUGCAUGCAGGGACCUAGAGGGCUUUGCCAUCUCCCCUACUAAGGUAAAGGGAGACUUAGGGGCUCAUCAGAUGAUCACACAGUUUCAUGCAUUCCAGUUGGGCAGGCAGAUCAAUACUGAAGACCUUAAACUACAAGAAAACGCUAGGAAUAAAAAGCCGGGAAAGAGAAAUGAUGAGUGAAUUCUUGAAUUACAGAAAAAAUAUAAGCAGGAAUGAAUACUAUCAUCAAAUCAGCUCAAGGAUGGACACAUAUGUUAAUGUAUGUGAGGGGUGGCUCAGUGGUUAAGAACACUGGCAGCUCUUCCAGAGGACUGGGGCUCAAUUUCCAGCACCCACAUAUGGCUCAUAGCCGUCUCUAACUCCAGUUCCAGGUACAUGAAUUAUACUACCGUUUGAUGACCCGUAUAGGAAAGUAUGAAAAUGUUAUUAAAACAUCCCCCUUUCUGCAUAACUUUAUGAGACUUCCCCGUGUAAAAGAAAAGCUCGAACAAAGUUUGAUAGAUUUAAAGUUUUCCUAAUAGAAAUUGUAAUGUCCCUGCUUGAAGACAUUUUAAAAUAGAAGAUAUUCACAGUGAGUCAGCCUUGUGAACAACCAGAUGUUUUCUUCUGUGUGAAAGGGCUUGACAUGUGGUAGGAUGCCCACUCUAACUAAGGAUAGAGAAGCCCGAAAGCUCUGUUAGACCUGUCUGAGACUUGCCCUCUUUCCCUUAUGGGUGAUAAUCUCGGCAUUCCCUGUUGCUGUCCAAAGGACCUUUUCUGCAGUCUGCUCUGCCCCGUUUCACACACAGGAGUGCAUGAAAAAGGAUGGCAUUGUCACAUAUCAUUUCAUAUAACUCUAAGCAUAUGCCUGCCUUUUUAAAUUAUUACUUAUGCACAGCUGCUGAAAAUUGGUGUCGUGCCAUAGGUUGGAAGUAGGAGGUGAUUUGUCACACACAAUGUCCAAAAGCCAGCAGCGGAGCGGGCCACUGGAAAUGGGGUUCCAUUUCUGGAGUAAGGAGAAAGGUUGGAUGAGGGGGGAAAUGGUGAAAAAUGCAGUUCAGAAGACUGGACUGAACAAGAUUCAUACCACAGAUCCCUUCUAAUCAUACUUGCAGACACAGCCCAUGUUCAGUCUCCUCCUUUCCCCCCUCCCCCGCCACGUACACACACACACACACACACACACACACACACACACACACACACGUUUUUAAUCCUUUAAGUUGCUUUGAAAGUAAGAUCAAGAGAGGUUAAUAUGGUUGUCUUGACAACAGCAGGUUAGACCUGGGAAGUGAGUUGGCUCUGUGCCGCUGUCGUAUGUUCUCUUGUCUCAGGUUACAUCAGACACACUAAUUUAUGGCACGCUAAUUGCAUGGGUACACUUCUCUAAUAGAAAGGUCAAUAUAAAGAUUUCAAGGACUCCUCUGGCCCCUCCCAUCGAGUAGUAACAUCCACUGACUAGUUGUAUGUUCCCUUGGCCAUUUUCUCUUCUGCUCAUGCAAUCUCUAGCGUGUGUACACAUCCGUAUAUCAUCAUUGCGUGAGUACAUGUAUGUGUAUGCUAUGUUGAUAAUUUUUGACUAAUGUUUUCUUUAACUAUACCUGGUUUGUGUGAACAUGAAUAGAGUAUUUUUAACACUCGGCAAGCGGGAAAGCCCUGCUGCUUACCCUCCUCUCGUAGCUUCAUUUGAUACUUUACUGUUUAUGCAUUCAAUGCCCACUGCAGACUACCUUCAAGAAGUUUCUACUUGAAAAUUGAAAGUGUACAAAAAUAGUAUCAGGCUCUUUAUUAAAACCGUGAAGGAGUCUUUCUGUGGUAUAUCGCCUUUGCUAGGAGAUGGGCCGCACGGGAAAGGAUUCUAAGUACAUGCGCACCUCUCCAGUGUCUGUCUGUGCACAUUUGUUUAUGUUAAAGGCAUUUUGCCUUGACACCUGUUGACCCUGUCUGCACUUCUAAGACACCAAGCUCUCCAGUGUCUUAAUAAAGUUAAGGCUUCGCUUGAAUGGACACGUCAGUCUGCUAUGCUUUCCCUGUGAAUUUCAAGGCAGGGCUGAAGGAAUCAAGUGUGUGUGCAAAAUAAGCCACAGCUGUCAGUCAUCCACCAUGUUUUAAGUGUAAGAAAGAGACAUGUAUUUGUUUUAUAGUUGGCAUGGAUACAAGCAGGAAUGAGAAAUGUCAAGAAUUCACGGCAUUUAUGAUUAUGAUUAGUUAGUUGAAUCUAAGCACCUCUAGAUCCAGUCGUGGAUCAUGUGACUUUUCCAUAAAAAUAUCAAGCAUAGAUUCUGACUAGCAGUGUGCACAGAGCUCCCCUGCCAGGCAGUUAAGGUGGCAGUGUCCAGAAAGGCCUCCCUCGUGCCCGGCGAUCACGAUUGGUAGUUAUUUCAGUCAUUCACACAUUUCUCAUUUGCUCUGGCAGACAAGGAGCAAGCUUAGGUUUUUUUUUUUUUCAAUAUGAUCAAACCCUGGCACUGAAGUGCUUUUAUAAUUACUGCAAUUUAUAAUUUUAGCAAUAAUUACUAAGUACACAAGAAUUGUCUAAAAAUAAAAUAAAGAUUCUUAAUCUUGUUAACUCUAAUACUGGCUUGCUUAGAGAUGUAGAGUGAGCGGUUUUAUAUUCUAGCCUUAUUUCUCCCAAGGUGGGCUAAGAUUUGUCAUACAUAGCGUUACGCUGUCUGAAAACCCCAGGUCAGUGCUGCGCUGUUUGAAGUGGUAACUAUGCAGAGUGUAUCCCAGAAUGACAUAGUUUAGAAUGAAAGUAGUUAAGAAUUUAAAAGUAUCUUUUUUUUUCUAUAAAUGAUAUGGAUGUAAUAGUAAUCUUUUCAAAACUAAAUAAAGGUCUUUAUGUUUCUUGGAGAAAACUACACAUCGAUACUUGUUAUUCCUGUAUUUGAGUUCACAGUGUCAAACAGUGACCUCGUUAUUUGGAUCCGAGCCUACCAAAACAUUAACUAUUAGGGCCAGGUGAUUUCUCAGUGGGUGUGGCCGUGUCCCUAUGAUCCCGGCCUUCCUGAGCAAGCUGGUACCCAGACCAGCAUGGGGUGAGCUCUGGGUUCAUUGAGAGACCCUCCCUUGCCUCACUAAAAAAGGAGGAAAGUGAUCAAGAAGGGCACCUGACCUCAACCUCUGCUCUCCAUACAUGUGCCUUUGCUUCCACGCAUGCGCA
ensembl:lncRNA